UCAUUUUUAAGAAAAGUGAUUAAUUUUGGAAAAUACUUUCAUUGCGGAAGCUUUGCUUGUUGUCGUGUUAUUUUGAAAUCAACUGUUGUUUUUGAAAACGCGCCCUAAAGCUAUCCAAUUUCAACAGUUAAAAUAAGUAUUACCUAUCUUAGUAAUACAUAUUAAAAACCAUCAAAAAUAAAUAAGCUGCCUUAUUACAUUUAAAAGCCCAAAACCUCAAACGUAAUUAAAAGGAUGACAAGUUCACCAGAAGAAAAUCAAACUUUCAGAACGGGUGGCCACUCCGAAUUCCCUCACAGCUCCAAGCCCACUAUGGUUGGGGAUUACCUGCGUGGAUGAAAAUAAAAGGGAUAAGUUUGGGGAAACUCAGUGUAUAAAAUAACCCAACCAUAGUCUAAAUCAGCUCAACCCACAGAAACAGAAUAAGUUGGCCUUAGCCCAGAACAGAAUUCAGAAUAAAGCCCAUAUGCCCAUAACAGAACAGAACAGAUAUUACAUGUUUAUGCAGAAACCCAACCAUAUCCAACCGUAUACACCCCCGUACCAACCUUACACCGUGUGGGGAGACAACUCGACUCACCCAACCGCUACACACCACAGAAUUUGCAGCAUGGCUGCCAGAACAGAUAAUGUGACAGAGUCACCAGAUACAGAUAAUCGUGGCAGAGCCACCAGAACAGAUAUAUGUGGCAGAGCCACCAGAUCAGAUAUUUGUGGCAUAGCCACCAGAACGGUUCCUCCAUAAUAUAACCCAUGUCCCCAUGCAACAAAUACAUAAUCAUGGCAUCCAUCAUACAGAAUCAGAUCGCUAUGCUUUUCAGUCAAAAUUAACCCUACGGGUAUAACAGUAAUUUUGCACCCAGGGGUAUAACAGUAAUUUUCCAUACAUAGGGGUAUUAUAGUAAUUUAGCUACUUUCAGGGUUUUCAUGCAUAUCCUAACUAUUUACGUACUAUCAGAACACUUACCGCGCAUACUUACCGAAUUGGGCCCGUUGGCCCAUGAACCCGAUCUUUGGCCCAUUAAGCCCAAAUUAUCAAAAUGUACGAAAUCGCGCGUACUGCAGUUUAUUACUUUAGAUUACCAAAUAUACAAACCCAACUAUUUUACGAGCAUUCGCACACUCGUAAAUUCCCAAAAUACUGACUUUUCGGCAUUUCGGCUUUUGUCAAUCUAGUCUAUGAGAGGGUGUCAGUUACACACUUGUUUGCGACGAUAUGCUGACGAGAUCCACACACGAACCGCCUACAAUUGGAUUACUAAAACGUUAAUCUAACUAUUCAAAUACAAACUACGUAUUAAACCCUUACAAUAUUCGGUCAACCACACCUACAGAUCAUAGUAAGCUUAUAAGAAAUCAAUAAGCAACUCAUUAACAAAUUUUUGUCAAUGUUUACCACAUAAUCAUAAUUUCACUGCAAGCUGUCUUUCUGAGCAACAGUCACUAAAUCAUUUAUAACUAGAGCUAAGAAACUCCAAAUCAAGUGCUGUUAAUUUUCCCUGAAAAUAGACUCAUAUAUCUUCUAUCCUUUAAAUUUUCAAAAUUUUUGGUUUGGCCAAUCAAUACCAGAUAUUUCUUAAAGUUUCCUAUGUUUCACUGUUUGACUAAUCUGACCACUCUUCAUUACGAAUCAAAUUUCUCAUUGUACAGAAUUAAAAAUAUGUUCUCGUUUAUUUCAUUUGAAACUAGACUCAACAAACUUUAAUUACAUAAUUUAUUCACCUUCUAACUCAUCUCCCAGAAUUUAUGGUGAUUUUCCAAAGUCACACUACUGCUGCUGUCCCAAGCAGAUUUAUUACCAAAUCACUCUUUCACACAUAACUUGCAUGCAUGUUAUUUAAACAUGUAUAUCACCAAUCAAUCAUCACAUAUCUAUGAUUUUACUUAAGUAUAAUCUCCAUUUCAUCAUUUUAAAGCACAACAUGUUAGCUGAUUUUUCCCUUUAACAUCUAAGGCACAUGCAUGCUCAUUUGUUUGGCUCAACUUCACCUAUCUUCCAUUUUUCAUCAAAAGAACAUGAAACAACAACCAUUUCCUUCAUUUUAAUUCAUGACUAAAUGCUCACAACACAACUAAAAAUCAAAAUAUACUUCAAGAGUUAAGGUAGAAUCAAGAAGAACUCAUGAACCUCAAAAUAGAAGUAAGGUACCAAGAACUUACCUUCAAUUUUCCUCCUCCUAAUGACCGAAUACUCAAGAGCUUUCUCCUCUCCUUUCUCUUCUCUAACUUUCAGCUAUGAUGAACAAAGAUGGACAAAACUUUAUUCUUUUCACCCCUUUUUCUUUUAAUAAAACUUCAUAUUUCAUCCAUUUAAUUCUUUAAUACAAAAGACAUGAAAUUCUUAUCAUGAAACAUUUACCUAACCCAUUAUCAUGAAACAUUUACCUAACCCAUUAUCAUGUAACAUUUACCUAACCUAUUAUCAUGGAACAUUUACCUAACCUAUUAUCAAUUUGUAUCAAUUUGUCUACAACAACAUGAUGGUUGGCCACUUCAUGUAAAAUGGGAGGUUUGUCAUGCAAAUCCUCCUAUUUUGCACUCCUAUUUAUUUGGCCACUUCAAUUUAGCCUAUAGCAUUUUCAAACAUUUUCACAUAGGUCCUAUUUCAUAAUUUCACUCCCUUUUUCUUAUGGAACAAAAAUUAACUAAAAUUACCGGGUUCUAUCUUAAGCUUGGGCCAUCUAGAGGCCCACUAACAUAAUUAAACCUAUGCCAACAUUCACAGGAUUCCCGAAAAUUGGGGCGUUACAACUCUACCCUCCUUAAAGAAAUUUCGUCCUCGAAAUUUACCUAAUCCAAACAGAUGAGGGUAUUGCUGUUGCAUCGUCUCUUCUGGCUCCCAAACUCAGAAGUUUCCCCUUCCUUAACUUGUUGAAAACGAGCGACCAAAGACUCAUCGUUCAACUGUUUUUCCUUAAUCUGAUCCACCAGGUUGGCCUCACUUGCAACUCAGCCAAUAGACUUCCAUCAUCAUACAGACUCAGACGAGCAAACAUUGCUCUCAGAUCAGAUACAGCUCUCCGACUUAGAGCAUCGGCUACCACAUUAGCCUUGCUUGGGUGAUACUCGAUCGAACAGUCAUAAUCCUUAAGCAACUCAAUCCAUCUCCUUUGCCUAAGGUUCAGCUCCUUCUGAGUCAACAAAUACUUAAGACUCUUAUGGUCAGUGUAUAUAAUACACCUUUCUCCGUACAAGUAAUGUAUCCAAAUCCUAAGUGCAAAUAUCACUGCUGCCAACUCUAAAUCAUGAGUCAAAUAGUUUCCUUCAUGGGGCUUAAGCUGUCGUGAUGCAUAUGCAACCACCUUACCCUCUUGCAUUAACACGUAGCCCAAACCCACGUGUGAUGCGUCACUAUACACACUAAAAUCCUUCCCAGACUCCGGCUGAAUCAACACAGGUGCUUUAGUCAGAACUUUCUUCAACUUCUCAAAAGCUUCCUGCUGCUUCUCAGUCUAUACAAACGGUACUCCUUUUCUUAUGAAUUUUGUCAGAGGUGCUGCCAUCACAGAAAAACCUUCUACAAACCUUCUGUAGUAUCCUGCCAGUCCUAGGAAACUUAGUAUUUCCGACACCGUCCUAGGUGGCUUCCAUUCCAAAAUUGCUUCAACCUUUCGAGGGUCCACCUUAAUCCCUUCGGCAGAGACCACAUGUCCUAAGAAGGUUACCUCCCUCAACCAAAAUUCACACUUGCUGAACUUCACAAAGAGUUCCUUCUCCCUUAAUACUUACAGCACUAUACGGAGAUGCUCAUCAUGUUUCGUUUCAGUUUUAGAAUAUACCAGGAUAUCGUCAAUAAAGACGACUACGAACUGAUCCAAAAAUGGUUGGAAUACACGAUUCAUCAGAUCCAUAAACGCUGUAGGAGCAUUCGUUAGUCCAAAUGGCAUAACCAGAAACUCGUAAUGACCAUACUGAGUCCUGAAUGUCAUCUUUUGGAUAUUUGCCUCCUUGACCCUUAACUGAUGAUAUCCAGAUCGAAGGUCGAUCUUGGAAAAUACAGAAGCUCCUCUAAGCUGGUCGAACAGAUCAUCAAUCCUUGGCAGCGGAUACUUAUUCUUAAUCGUCAGUUUGUUCAACUGGCGAUAAUUAAUGCACAUUCGCAUCGUACCAUCCUUCUUUUUCAUGAAUAGCACCGGUGCUCCCCAUGAAGACACGCUUGGCCUAAUAAAGCCCCUAUCCAACAACUCUUGAAUUUGAGCAUUUAACUCUACUAACUCCUUCGUGCCAUCCUAUACGGUGCGAUGGACACAGGCGCCGUUCCAGGCAACAAAUCUAUUCCAAACUCAACUUCUCGGUUCGGAGGUAAUCCUGGAAGCUCCUCCAGAAAAACAUCUUGGAGCUCUUUUACGGUCCUAACCUUAUCCACUGUCAGUCCCUCCUCUUCCGACUGACUUACAAAUGCCAAAUAGGCCUCACAACCUUUCCGAAUCCACGUCUCGACUCUUAAUACCGAUACCACAUUGAACAAAUAAUCCCUUCGCUCACCUAUCACCAUAACCUCCUCAUCCUUUGUGGUCCUUAACACCAUUCGUUUGACAGCACAAUCCAGAGUCACUUUAUGCUUAACAAGCCAGUCCAUUCCCAGAAUGAGAUCAAACUCUCCGAACGGUAACUCCAUCAGAUCUCCAGGGAAAAUCUUAUCUUGAGUUUCUAAGGGUACAUCCCUAUACAGUUUGUCUACCCUAACGGAGUGACUCAAAUGACUUAGUACAGAUAACCUACUCACAAUCUCCUCAGAGCAGUCCAAGUUGUCCAUAAUCCAUUCUGUGGCCUCCAACCAAUAUACUGCCACAUUCGGGACUAUACCAGACGCACCCCUAAAGAUCUCCGCUCCGUUGGCCCGGAGUCGUUCAGAAAUCGAUCCUCAAAUUUCGUUGCCCGAACUUGUCCCGGUAACCCUUUCCUAAACACGAAGCAUUGCCUGUGACAGGGCAUCAUCCUCGACAUCGCGGUCAUGAGACUCUACCUCUGUUGCCAGUGGUACCGGUGCAUCCACCGUCGGCAUAUGUCUCGAAGACGAAGAUCUCGCUCGAGCACUUCCUCGACUCCGUCCACGGCCUCUUGUACUCAUAUCGUAUUAUCUUGAUUACGAAUUUUUAUGCAUCAAUAAAUAUUCAAGUGUUUAUUACAGAUGUUUUAUGAAUCAGACAGUAGUUUAGAGUUUGUUUUCACAGAAUCGAAGUCUAGCUACAGUUUCAGUCUCUUAUCAGAUUUUCCUAUGGUUUCAGUAUCAUCCUAUCUAGAGUAUCCUAGAAGGAUUUUAGUACAGACAGAUAAUUCAGGAGAAUAUUCAGAAAAGUUCAGAGUAAUACUUACAGGCUUGGGCCGGAGAUUCGGAAUGCCACCUUCUAAAGAUCUAAAUUUUAAAAAUCGCGUUUUUCGCAAUCUUUAUAAUUUUUUUUGAAAAUCUUUGUUUUUUUUUGUAAACCCAUUCCACAGCCGAUUUGUUACAACCUAGGCUCUGAUACCACUAAAUGUAGCACCCCAAACCCAGCCCAGAAGUUAUGGCCGGAUUCGGCAUGCCACAUCAAAAACGUAAAAAAAAAUUUCAUUCUAAGUCCAGAAAAUCGUACUUGAUGUUCAAAAGAUUAAUUUCAUUAUAGGUUAAAGUGAAUGGAAGCUGUGCACCAGGUAGGAAACCAGAAAAGAGGUGGUGAGUCCAUCGGACUGCUUAAGUACCAAGCUCCAUUCGGAUCCAAUCCUAGACAUGCAUACUACAAUUGCCACACCUUAACGUCAUGGAUAUUUCUAGGAAACCGAUUUGAUUAAGUCAUUUUUAAGAAAAGUGAUUAAUUUUGGAAAAUACUUUCAUUGCGGAAGCUUUGCUUGUUGUCGUAUUAUUUUGAAAUCAACUGUUGUUUUUGAAAACGCGCCCUAAAGCUAUCCAAUUUCAACAGUUAAAAUAAGUAUUACCUAUCUUAGUAAUACAUAUUAAAAACCAUCAAAAAUAAAUAAGCGGCAUUAUUACAUUUAAAAGCCCAAAACCUCAAACGUAAUUAAAAGGAUGUCCAGUUCACCAGAAGAAAAUCAAACUUUCAGAACGGGUGGCCACUCCGAAUUCCCUCACAGCUCCAAGCCCACUAUGGUUGGGGAUUACCUGCGUGGAUGAAAAUAAAAGGGAUGAGUUUGGGGAAACUCAGUGUAUAAAAUAACCCAACCAUAGUCUAAAUCAGCUCAACCCACAGAAACAGAAUAAGUUAGCCUUAGCCCAGAACAGAAUUCAGAAUAAAGCCCAUAGGCCCAUAACAGAACAGAACAGAUAUUACAUGUUUAUGUAGAAACCCAACCAUAUCCAACCGUAUACACCCCCGUACCAACCUUACACCAUGUGGGGAGACAACUCGACCCACCCAACCGCUACACACCACAGAAUUUUCAGCAUGGGUGCCAGAACAGAUAAUGUGACAAAGUCACCAAAUACAAAUAAUCGUGGCAGAGCCACCAGAAUAGAUAUAUGUGGCAGAGCCACCAGAUCAGAUAUUUGUGGCAUAGCCACCAGAACGGUUCCUCCAUAAUAUAACCCAUGUCCCCAUGCAAUAAAUAUAUAAUCAUGGCAUCCAUCAUACAGAAUCAGAUCGCUAUGCUUUUCAGUCAAAAUUAACCCUACGGGUAUAACGGUAAUUUUACACCCAGGGGUAUAACAGUAAUUUUCCAUACAUAGGGGUAUUAUAGUAAUUUAGCUACUUUCAGGGUUUUCAUGCAUAUCCUAACUAUUUACGUACUAUCAGAACACUUACCGCGCAUACUUACCGAAUUGGGCCCGUUGGCCCAUGAACCCGAUCUUUGGCCCAUUAAGCCUAAAUUAUCAAAAUGUACGAAAUCGCGCGUACUGCAGUUUAUUACUUUAGAUUACCAAAUAUACAAACCCAACUAUUUUACGAGCAUUCGCACACUCGCAAAUUCCCAAAAUACCGACUUUUCAGCAUUUCGGCUUUUCGGCUUUUGCCAAUCUAGUCUAUGAGAGGGUGUCAGUUACACACCUGUUUGCGACGAUAUGCUGACGAGAUCCACACACGAACCGCCUACAAUUGGAUUACUAACACAUUAAUCUAACUAUUCAAAUACAAACUACGUAUUAAACCCUUACAAUAUUCGGUCAACCACACCUACAGAUCAUAGUAAGCUUAUAAGAAAUCAAUAAGCAACUCAUUAACAAAUUUUUGUCAAUAUUUACCACAUCAUCAUAAUUUCACUGCAAGCUGUCUUUUUGAGCAACAGUCACUAAAUCAUUUAUAACUGGAGCUACGAAACUCCAAAUCAAGUGCCGUUAAUUUUUCCUGAAAAUAGACUCAUAUAUCUUAUAUCCAUAAAAUUUUUAGAAUUUUUGGUUUGUCCAAUCAAUACCAGAUAUUUCUUAAAGUUUCCCGUGUUUCACUGUUUGACUAAUCUGAACACUCUUCAUUACGAAUCAAAUUUCUCAUUGUACAGAAUUCAAAAUAUGUUCUCGUUUAUUUCAUUUGAAACUAGACUCAACAAGCUUUAAUUACAUAAUUUAUUCACCUUCUAACUCAUCUCUCAAAAUUUAUGGUGAUUUUCCAAAGUCACGUUACUGCUGCUGUCCCAAGUAGAUUUAUUACCAAAUCACUCUUUCACACAUAACUUGCAUGCAUGUUAUUUAAACAUGUAUAUCACCAAUCAAUCAUCACAUAUCUAUGAUUUUACUUAAGUAUAAUCUCCAUUUCAUCAUUUUAAAGCACAACAUGUUAGCUGAUUUUUCCCUUUAACAUCUAAGGCACAUGCAUGCUCAUUUGUUUGUCUCAACUUCACCUAUCUUCCAUUUUUCAUCAAAAGAACAUGAAACAACAACCAUUUCCUUCAUUUUAAUUCAUGACUAAAUGCUCGCAACACAACUAAAAAUCAAAAUAUACUUCAAGAGUUAAGGUAGAAUCAAGAAGAACUCAUGAACCUCAAAAUAGAAGUAAGGUACCAAGAACUUGCCUUCAAUUUUCCUCCUCCUAAUGACCGAAUACUCAAGAGCUUUCUCCUCUCCUUUCUCUUCUCUAACUUUCAGCUAUGAUGAACAAAGAUGGACAAAACUUUGUUCUUUUCACCCCUUUUUCUUUUAAUAAAACUUCAUAUUUCAUCCAUUUAAUUCUUUAAUACAAAAGACAUGAAAUUCUUAUCAUGAAACAUUUACCUAACCCAUUAUCAUGAAACAUUUACCUAACCCAUUAUCAUGGAACAUUUACCUAACCCAUUAUCAUGGAACAUUUACAUUUACCUAACCUUUUAUCAAUUUGUAUCAAUUUGUCUACAACAACAUGAUGGUUGGCCACUUCAUGUAAAAUGGGAGGUUUGUCAUGCAAAUCCUCCUAUUUUGCACUCCUAUUUAUUUGGCCACUUCAAUUUAGCCUAUAGCAUUUUCAAACAUUUUCACAUAGGUCCUAUUUCAUAAUUUCACUCCCUUUUUCUUAUGGAACAAAAAUUAACUAAAAUUACCGGGUUCUAUCUUAAGCUUGGGCCUUCUAGAGGCCCACUAACAUAAUUAAACCUAUGCCAACAUUCACAGGAUUCCCGAAAAUUGGGGCGUUACAAUGAUGAUGGUGGAUACCAUCAACUUUAAUUAAUAUAUUAUCAAUGUAUAUUAAACCAUAAUUAUACAAGAUUAACUAUAACCUAAUCUAAGUAUAAAAGCUAAAGUAAGUGGAGAAAGAUGAUAAUUCAUUUUCUUCACUGUCCACUUGAAGAGAAUAAAGAAAACUCCAUUUUUAGAGGUUAAACUUUUGGCUAAGCAAUUACUAUGUGUGUGAAACUAAUCCAAUUUAUCUCUUGAAACUAGAGAAAAAUACGAAAUAGUCACUAUUUUCAAAAAUACCCAACACCACACGACCAUGUGAGAUUUUACAAACCGUGUGGGUAGGCCGUGUGGACCACAUUGGGCUAGCUUUUAGGCCUAGUGGGCCUUUUGGCCAAAUUUUGGGCCUGAUUAAGGGUCACUAAGGGACUCGAAACUUGGGUUCGUAGGCAUCAUAUGGGAUCAGAAAAGCGUAAAUUUAAGUACGUAAAAAUACAUGGGUAAGCUUAUUAAGUAGGAUAUGUUACAAUUAAACCACACACUAUGCUCAGAUCCAUAAUAAGUGUAUGCAUGUUAUACGAUUUAUGAUAUAUAUAUAUGUAUGAUAUAUGAUUACGAUAUGCUUUUGUUUUGGGGUGGGCUAUGAUGUGAUGGAGGAAGUGUUAUGUAACACCCUUAACCCAUCUUCAUUAUCGAAUUAGGGUUACAGAGCAUUACAGUAUAAAACAGAACCUUUAACUUCAAAAUAGAAAAAUAAUAGAUCGAAUUUCAUAUUAACUUCUAAUAACACAAUACAAUCAUAGAAAAAAUACAUCCUUGGGUCUUAAAUCAAGCCUAAGGGGACUUAAAAAUAGUUUGGAAACAUUCAGGGAUCAAUUCAAAAAAAUUUGAAAGUUUUGGGAAAAGUUGAGAAUUCGGGGAAACAGAGGUCACACGAUAGUAUGACUUUGCCCAAGCUGUGUGGGGAUUCAAAUUAUGGGACACACGAUCGUGUCCCAACCCGUGUGUCUACCUAUGUAACUUACUGACUUGGGUCACACGGCCGUGUGCCAGGCCAUGUGUGUAUUCGAACCAUGGUGACAUGGCUAUGUUGUAGACCAUGUGCCUGGCCGUGUGGAACCUGCACCUAAAAUUAAAAUGACACAUGACCAUGUGGGGUGACCGUGUGUGGUACAUGACCGUGUGGCAACCCAUGUCCCAAGCCGUGUGCAAUCCAAAUUACCCCUAAAACAAGCCAUUUCAAAUAUCAUUUCUUAACCAUCAAGCCAUAUCAUCAAUAGCUACUUUCAUAUACUUAAAUCACAUUCAAAAUCACCUAAAACAUGUCAAGAAUUAAUCCAUCCGAUGUCUAAUCAAUAUGCCUUUCAAAGGCACCACAUUUCACACUUCAAACUUAGUCUCAUUCAACAUCUCAAAGUCCUAAUUAGAACCUAUGCCAACUAUGCCAAAAUAACCAUUCCCAAAACAUGCCAUCAUACCAUGUAAUAUCUACUAUUUAUAGAAUAUGCAUAAGGGUUCAUCCAUUCAUAUUUUCACCUAUUCUUUACAUGCCAUUAUUUAACACCAUUAACCAUACCAAGCUUUGCACAACUCAAAACAAGAAAAUUCACUUGAAUAAUCUUUUAACCCUAUCACAUGCCAUUUAUAACCAUUAACCAAAACUACCAAUAUGACGAAUGGAUAGUUUGACAAUACUCCGACGAGAUUCCAACCGAUUGAGCUUUUCGAUAAUAUACAAAACAGAGGAAACAACUACGUAACCAAUCAGUGCUUAAUAAGUUCGUACUUAAGAACUUAACUUACCAUAUGCAUUAAAUCAAACAAUCAAAUUAGAUUCCUUUUUAUUAUAGGCCAUAUGUCCUUUCCUAUACACAAUUACUCACAAAGUUAGUUAGUGAGACAUUGCACUUAUAAAGCAACCAAAGCAUGCCAUAAGACAUAUCAAUAUUUCAAAUUCAUCAAACAUCAUUCAUUCAUAUACCAUGUUCUUACAUUUUCUUUAGGUUUCACAUAACAACUUUCCAUGUCACACAUUCAUUAGUAUAGCUCUUUAUGUACAUGUAUUUUUUUUCAUUCAAACCUUAAUUACCCAUUGAACCAUAAAGAAUAACAUUGCCUACUUGAAAAAUACUCAUAUAUCUAUUUAAUUUACUAAACACCACAAACAUCAUUAGUUAACAUAUUUACAGACACAUGUAACAUAUAAUCACACCAAGGCAUAAAUAUUCAUUACAACCUAAACUAGUCAAAACAUUUAUCUCACAUUUAAACUUAUGAUACAUAACUCACCUGAAACAUGUUACCUAAAUAGCAAAUGAUUGAAGGAUGCCAUAGUGUCUUUCAACCAUGGCCAUAUACAUUUUCGUCUUAAUGCUAUAGUUUCUUUCAACCAUGGUCUUAUUUGCCUAAUUCAUGAUGUCAUAGCGUCUUUUAGCUAUGGUCUUACUCGUUUUCGGUAUGAUGCCGUAGUGUCUUUCAACUAUGGUCUUAUUCAGUUUCAGCAUAGUGCCAUAGAUCUUUCAACUAUGGUCUUGCUCGUUUUCUUCAAGCCAAAAAAUUUGAUUCACAUAUAUAUACAAAUAGAUAAUAAUUUAUCAAAACAGUAAUUGAUUGCAUUAACCAAGUUACGAACUUACCUGAACUCAUAAAGGACUUCUAGCAAGAAUCAACCACUAUUUUGGAACUUUGACUUUUCCACGAUUUGUGUUCAUUUGAGUUGUUUUGUAACGCCCCAAUUUUCGGGAAUUCUAUGAAUGUUGGCAUAGGUUUAAUUAUGUUAGUGGACCUCUAGAAGGCCCAAGCUUAAGAUAGAACCCGGUAAUUUUAGUUAAUUUUUGUUCCAUAAGAAAAAGGGGGUGAAAUUAUGAAAUAGGACCUAUGUGAAAAUGUUUGAAAAUGCUAUAGGCUAAAUUGAAGUGGCCAAAUAAAUAGGAGUGCAAAAUAGGAGGAUUUGCAUGACAAACCUCCCAUUUUACAUGAAGUGGCCAGCCAUCAUGUUGUUGUAGACAAUAUGUGCACUUGAUAUCCAUAAUUCAUGGUACAAAUUGAUAAAAAUUGACAAUGGGUUAGGUAAAUAUUCCAUGAUAAUGGGUUAGGUAAAUGUUCCAUGAUGGGCAUUUCAUGUCUUUUGUAUUAAAGAAUUAAAUGAAUGAAAUAUGAAAUUUUAUUAAAAGAAAAAGGGGUGAAAAGAAUAAAGUUUUGUCCAUCUUUGUUCAUCAUAGCCGAAAGUUAGAGAAGAGAAAGGAGAGGAGAAAGCUCUUGAAUGUUCGAUCACUUGGGGAAGAAAAUUGAAGGUAAGUUCAUGGUAGUUUGCUUCUAUCUUGAUGCUCAUGAGUUCUUCUUGAUUCUACCUUAACUCUUGAAGCAUAUUUUGCUUUUAGUUGUGUUGUGAGCAUUUAGUCAUGAAUUAAAAUGAAGGAAAUGGUUGUUGUUUCAUGUUCUUUUGAUGAAAAAUGGAAGAUAGGUGAAGUUGAGCCAAACAAAUGAGAAUGCAUGUGCCUUAGAUGCUAAGGGGAAAAAUCGGCUAACAUGUUGUGCUUUAAAAUGAUGAAAUGGAGAUUAUACUUAAGUAAAAUCAUAGAUAUGUGAUGAUUGGUUGGUGAUAUACAUGUUUAAAUAACAAGCCUGCAAGUUAGGUGUGAAAGAGUGAUUUGGUAAUAAAUCUGCUUGGGACAGCAGCAGCAACGUGACUUUGGAAAAUCACCACAAAUUGUGGGAGAUGAGUUAGAAUCUGCAUAAAUUAUGUAAUUAAAUCUUAAUGAGUCUAGUUUCAAAUGGAAUAAACGAGAACAUAUUUUGAAUUCUGUACAAUGAGAAAUUUGAUUCGUAAUGAAGAGUGGUCAAAUUAGUCAAACAGUGAAACAUGGGAAACUUUGAGAAAAAUCUGGUAUUGAUUGGCUAAACCAAAAAUUCUGAAAAUUUUAUGGAUAUAAGAUAUAUGAGUCUAUUUUUAGGGAAAAUUAACGGCACUUGAUUUGGAGUUUCUUAGCUCCAGUUAUAAAUGAUUUAGUGACUAUAUCUCAGGAAGACAGCUUGCAGUGAAAUUAUGAUUAUGUGGUAAACAUUGACAAAAAUUUGUUAAUGAGUUGCUUAUUGAUUUCUUAUAAGCUUACUAUGACCUGUAGGUGUGGUUGGCCAAAUAUUGUAAGGGGUUAAUACGUAUUUUGUAUUUGAAUAGUUAGAUUAACGUGUUAGUAAUCCAAUUGUAGGCGGUUCGUGUGUGGAUCUCGUCAGCAUAUUGUCGCAAACAGGUGUGUAACUAACACCCUCUUUCUUAGUCUAGAUUGGCAAAAGUCGAAAAGCCAAAAUGCCGAAAACUGGUAUUUUGUAGAUUUGCGAGUGUGCGAAUGCUCGUGAGGUAAAUCGAUUAAUGUUUUUGGUAAGCUGCAAUGUUUGGACUGCAAAGUGCAUGAUUUCUGUGCCCUCAAUAUUUUUAGGCUUAAUGGGCCAAAAUUGGAAUGAUGGGCCAAUGGGCCCAAUUCGAUAAGAACCCUCGGUAGUGAUUCUGUUAGUACGUGAAAGGUAGGAAUAUGCAUGAAAAACCCUAAAAUAGAUAAAUUACUGAAAUACCUUUAAAAGUGGAAAAUUUAUAGUUUUACCCCUAGAAGAUAAAUUACCGAAAUACACCUAGGGUUAAAUUGACCUAAAUGCAUGCUUGACUGUUGUUAUUUACUGCAUGCCAUGUUGUUAUUAUCUGAUGCAUGGGACUGGGAUAUUGACGGAGGAAGUACUGAAAGUGGCUUGUCCAAGUAAUGGAGGCUUUGCCUCAAUUUACUGUUAACUGAGCAGCAAGGCUACAACUGUGGAGUGUUGGGCUGGUUGGGUUGAGCUAUUCCCCACAUGGAGUGUAUGGCUGGUACGGGUGGAGUGUAGUGGUUGGUGGGUUGAGUAGUCUCCCCAAAUGGGCUUGCAUAUGUUUAUUGAUGUUGCAUGUAUUUUGAAAUGGGCCUAUGAGCCAUACUGUUAUCUGAAUAAGGGGCUAAGGCCUAGUUUAUUGUAAUCUGAAAAGGGCUCUGGCCCAGUACCACUGUUACCUAAAUGGGCUUAGGCCCAAUGGGCUUGAGCUGACUUGGGCUUUGAAUGGGUUUUCCUUACACACUGAGUUUCCCCAAACUCACCCCUUCUUUAACCGUGCAGGUGAGCCUUGAUGUGGGUGACUUGGAGCUGGAGGGGAUUCAGAGUGGUCAUGGUGAAUACUUUUGGGUUUGAAAAAGAGACUGGUUUUCUUAAGUUAUUUUUAAUUACUAUUUAAUUUUUGGGUUGUAAUAAGGUCAUUUUAACUUUAUUUUCUUCUUUGAUUUUCUGGGAUUAUAUUAUUUUAAACAACUUUAAAUUGAUGGAUACUAAUUCAAAUGGGCUAGACUUAGGGCGUGAUUUCAAAACGAUACUUGUUUUUUUUAAAAUAACACGACGUCACGAAUAUUCGAUUUACCAAAGAUAAUCACUCAAAGAAAUUUCAACUUGUUAUAACCAAGUGUGGCAAUGGAUGUGGGCAUGUCUAGGAUUGGAUCCAAUCGGAGAGCUUGGUACUUAAGCAGCCUUCAUGGCUCACCUCCUCUGUUAUGGAUACCUACCUGGUGCCCAGCUUCCAUUCACUUGGUUAGUUUGACAAAAGUCGGCUUUUUAAAACACUAAAAAGGGAACACGGGUUUUUGACUUCAAAGUGGCACGUCAGAUUCGGCCUUAACGUCUGGGCCGGGUUUGGGGUGCUACAUGUUUCUUGAUCAUGCAUGGUGAAACAAAACUUAAUCGAACCCUAGAUUAGCCAUCCAUGGAAGAAUCAAUUGUCUAAAAAUGAUAAAGAAGAUGAUAACCACUCAUAUUUUGUUUAUGUUUUAUUUUAAUUAUCAAAUUACCUUUUUACCUUUCUGAUUUUAAUUUAAAAUUAACAAAACAUGUCCAUAACGAUGCAUGGUAUAUUUACCAUAUAAGUUUAUUAAUUUAUCUUUUCAUAGCCAUUUGACCCAUUUCACUAAUAGAAAUCAACUUUUGCAGCUUUUAUAAUUUAGUCCUUUUUAAUUAAUUAACUAUUUAAGUGUUAAAAUUUCUUAACAAAAUUUUAAAUAACCCUAAUAACACUAUUAAAUAUUUACAGGCUCAAUUUAUAUAAACUAGGUCCCGAUAUAUCAUUUUCUAAAAUCACUUGAAUUGAAGGAUUUACCACUUGAACCUAGUUAUUCAUUCAAAAAACAUAAAUUAUCAAAUAAAAUUUUAAUAUUACUAUAUUUGACUCGUAAAUGUUAAAUAAUAAUAUUUACAAACUCACUCAUCGGAUUUGUGGCCUCGAAAUCACUAUUUCUGACACCACUAAAAAUGGGUUGUUACAUGUUAUAUGACAGUUUUUACUACAAUUACAGUGGCUAGAUCGCAAAUUUUUGUCUGGUAGCUCAGCUACAUAUAUAUAACACACCGCCAUAUAUUUGUGUGAUUGGAUGGAUUGACUCUUGUAGUCCUAUAUGGUGUGAUUGUCUGGUAAGAGAUGGUGUGUAGUGGAUGGGGGUAGGACAUGAUAUGACAUGUUGUGUUAUGAUUCGGUUUGAUAUGAUAUGUUAUGAUACGUAAUAUAUGAUAAUAUAUGAUCUGUAUGGCGACUGAUACAAUAUGAAAUAUUAAAAGAUAUGCUCUGAUUUGGAUUCUAAUAUGUUAUAACACAUUUUGAUAAAUAUAUAUAUUUGUACAGAAAGUGUGGGCCAAAUCACACACAUGGCUUAAAGCUCAGGUAUUGUUUGUUUCGUUUCAGGUGAUCCUCCGACAUAGGAUUGGACGGCGACAUUGGAGCUUAGGUUUCACAAUUUUUGGGUUUUGUAUGUUACAUACUUUUCUUUAUUUAUGGACCUUUUUUUAAGGACUUAAAACAUUUUAAUUUUGUUUGGGACAUUUGAAUUUAUUUCGGUAAUUCUUUUGAUAAAGUUUUGGUUUUUAACCAGUGUUUAAAACAAUACGACUAACUAUAAACUAAAGGUAAUAAAGAGAAAUUGUUAUAAUGUGUCUGCUGCCAAAAUUUUGUCGAAAACUGCUAAAGUGAUUUAUUACACAAACAUUUUGAGUAAAUUGGAUUCGUUUUAGUAAAACUGUUUAAGAUGUGUUUUCAAAAAUUAAUAUGUUUUUCAAAAAGUUAUCCAAAUUGAUUUUCUCUUCGUUGAAAGUUGGUUUUCAUCAAAAUUAGAUAUCAAUUUUUUUUUCAAAUGCAAUGUAAUCUUUAUAAUCCGACCGUAAUAUUUAUGCCAGGUAGGGAUGUUACAUUUGGUGGUAUUAGAGUCAGGUUGUAACACUCAGGCUGCGUAUUUUGGGUCCACGAUAUUUUAAGAAAUAAACUUUUUUUUAAACUGAAAUUUUACUAAAAUGAUCUUUGAAUUUUUGGAUAAGUGAAACCGAGACUCCAACGCCAAUCCAAGCAAGAACUCUAAACUUUAGUUAUGCUUUAGAGAUACUUUGCAUGUGAUACUUUAGUAUAAGAAAUGAUCUUUAGAAACUGUAGCGUAGUAAAACACUCUCUAAACACUGAUAAGUAUUCCGAUAAAACUUUAUGAUUAAGGUUUAAAAUUUAAACUGAUUCAUAAAAUUUUGAAAAAUUGUUGAUAAGAUAAUGAGCACUCGUGGAUCUCGAGGACGUGGUCCCCAUGGCACGGUGGUCACCGUCGGGGGGCUCAAGCUGAGCCUUCUAUAAUGGGAAGUAUGGCCCAAUUAGAUAUGAGUGAGACUGUAAGAACUCCGAUUGCUAUGACUGAGUUUGGGGCUUAGACUGUCGAGGACGACGUACUAUCCCAAAAAAAGUUGAAGGUUUUGGAGAAGGUUACUGAGACCCAUAUUAGAUUUGAGAGCUGAGGGUUAGUAACUGAAUUGCUCCAAUCCAAUGGAGCUAAAUUGUUUAGGGGCAUCACUGGAGCCACUCCGACUUUGGCUAAAUAUUGGUUAGAGGCCAGAGAAAGAAUAAUGAAUGACUUAGACUGCACCCCAAGCAGAAAUUGAAGGGUGCAUUAUCCUUGCUUCAUGACGAAGCAUAUCAGCAGUGGUUGAUUGUGUGGAGGAAGGCACUCAACCUGAGCAACUGACAUGGGAUUAUUUUUGGAGUACUUUUCAAAAUAAGUAUGUGGAGGCAAGCUAUGUGGAGGCCAAUAGACGCGAGUCUCUGGGGCUAACUCAGAGGGAUAGAUCAGUGGCCAAGUAUAAGGCUGGGUUCUUCAGAUUGAGUAGGUAUGAUCAUGGUUUCGUGGCUACUGACUACGAUAAGAGUAUCCAUUUUGAGGAGGGUCAGAGGUAUGACAUUAAGGUUUUGAUAGCUCCCUAAAGAAUGCAGGUUUUUGCAAUCUUGGUUGACAAGGAAAAAAUUAUGGAAAAGGUUAAGCACAUUAAGCACAAUAAGAGAGAGAGUGAGAAGAAUCAAAAUAAUAAAAAGAGGGAUAUGUGUCCUUCUAGUUCUUCUCAGCAGACUGUGAAACAAGCUAGGUAUGAGAAACCUUUACAGGCAAAGCCAGUUGCUAGAGUUGAACCUGCUGUUGGAGUUAAGUAGGCAUCAAUUUGUUGGUAUUGUAAUAGACACCACCUAGGCAAAUGUUGGAGGAGGACUGGGGCUUGCUUUAGGUGUGGUCAACUAGGCACAAGAUCAGAGAGUGUCCCCCUUAUGGUUGAAGCGGGCGGGCUUCAGGUCAGGGUCAGAUUCCGCUUUAGAGGGUUGGUCAGCAGCAUGCUAAGGGCCAUGGUCAGAUGAGGGGGUAAUAAUGGUAGACGCGGACAAAAAGCAUUAGGUAGAGGUGCAGGUCAGGUUGAGGUCAAGUAUCCAACUUUAGCUUACAUAGCGAGGCAUCGUGAGGACAGAGAUUUGACUGAUGUGAUUAUCGGCACGUUCGCUAUUCAUUCUUUAUCUUAUUUUGCAUUAAUUGAUUAUGGUUCUAUAGACUCCUACAUAUCUAGUAGUGUAGUGGGAAAUCUGAGGAUUUUGGCCGAGUACACUAGUUGUGAACUUUCUAUGAUUAGUCAUUUGGGUUAAUCUGUACAAGUUAGUAAAGUGUAUAGGAGGUGUCUGCUUGAGGUUCAGGGGUUUGUGUUUCUAGUUGAUUUGAUAGAGUUACCAUUUAGGGAGUUUCACUUGAUUUUGGGUAUAGAUUGGUUGGUGGAGCAUCGGAUUGGAAUGGAUUGUGAAUCUAAGAGAGUGACAUUUAAGGUUGAAGAUGAUGUGGAGGUUAUGAUGGUUGGCGAGCGUCAAGGUUAUCUCUCUAAUGUGAUCUUCACUCUGGUAGCUGAAAAUCUAAUCUAUAAAGGUUGUUAUGCAUAUUUGGCAUAUAUGCAUGAUACGAGUAGCGUGGGUUUGGCUGUGGAAGAUAUUCACAUUAUUAGGGAUUUUUCAAACAUCUUCCCUAAGGAGUUGUUGGGAUUACCUCCAGAUAAGAAGGUUGAGUUUGGAAUUGAGUUAUUGUCAAGGUCAGCUUCGGUGUCCAUCGCUCUAUAUCAAAUGGCACCAAAGGAGGUGAAGGAACUUAAGUUGCAACUUCAGAAACUUUUAGACAGAGGAUUCAUUUGACCUAGUGUGUCUCCGUGAGAAGCACUGAUUCUCUUUGUUAAGAAAAAAGAUGGUUUUAUGAAGAUCUGUAUAGAUUAUCAUCAAUUGAAUAAAUUGAUGAUAAAGAAUAAGUACCCACUUCCAAGGAUUGAUGAUCUAUUUGAUUAGUUUCGUGGGGCAUCUGUGUUUUCAAAAAUUGAUCUUUGCUCUGGGUAUCAUCAGUUGAAGGUUAGGGAAGUUGGUGUGCAUAAGAUUGCCUUUAGGACUCGUUACGGUCAGUACAAGUUCCUUAUCAUGCCCUUUACUUUGACUAAUGCUCCGAUGGUGUUCAUGGAUAUCAUGAACCAGGUUUUUUAGCCAUAUCUAGACCAAUUCAUCGUAGUGUUUAUCGACGAUAUUUUGGUAUAUUCUAAGAUUGAGGACGAGCAUGAUAGGCAUUUUCGAACAGUUCUUCAGAUUAUUCAUGAAAAGGAAUUGUAUGCCAAGUUGAGUAAAUGUGAGUUAUGGUUGGGUAAGGCUAUGUUUUUAGGGCAUGUGGUUUCUCCUGAGGGUAUCUAAAUGGAUCCUAAGAAUAUAAAGGCUAUUCUGGAUUGGAAUCAGCCUAGAAAUGUCACUGAGAUUUGGAGUUUCCUAGGUUUGAUAAGAUACUAUCGAAGGCUUGUUGAAGGUUCUCUUUGACAGUAGCUCCUUUGACUAAGUUGCUACGUAAGAAUGUUCCAUUUGUUUGGAUUGUUGAGCAACAAUCGAGCUUUGAAAGGCUCAAAUCUAUUUUGACUCAGGCACUUGUUUUGAUUCAGCCUAAACCUGGAAAGAGUUUGUUGUUUAUAGUAAUAUGUCACAUACUAGUUUAGGUUGUGUACUAAUGCAAGAAGGUAAAGUGGUCACUUACACGUCUAGACAACUUAAGUAGUACGAGGGUAAUUAUCUGACUCAAAACUUCAAGCUUGUUACGGUUGUUUUUGCACUUUAGAUUUGGACGCACUAUUUGUAUGGUGAGAGAUGCAUCAUUUACACUAAUCAUCAAAGUCUUAAGUACCUUGUCACUCAAAAAGAGUCGAAUCUUAGGCAGCGUUGUUGGAUUGAGUUACUUAAGGACUAUAAUUGUUCGAUUGAGUAUUAUCCUAGUAAGGCCAAUGUGGUGGCUGAUGCUCUUAGUCAAAGAUUUAUGAGUGAUUUGAAAGCGAUGUUUGCUUGCCUAAGUUUGUUUGAUUCUGGUCGAGUUACAGGUUAAGUCGUCUUGGUUGGAUGAGAUUAAGAGUAAGCAACUUUUGGAUAAGUCUUAGAUUAGUUGGGUUCAGCAGAUGAAUGAGGGUAAUACUACGGAUUUGGGGUAUACUAAUGAUGGUAUUUUGUAUUUUUGAGGUCGUAUUUGUGUGCCUAAGGAUGUAGAUCUAAGAUAGUCUAUUCUGCGGGAAGCACAUAGUAGCUCUUAUGCUAUGCAUCCUAUUGGUAAUAAGAUGUAUCGUGACCUCUAUGACUUGUAUUGGUGGCCUAGGCUAAAACAUGAGGUGAUGGAUUUUGUGUCCCAUUUUUUGAUGUGCCAGCAAGUUAACGCUAGGCAUCAACUAGACCGCUUCAACCCGUUAAGAUUUCAUUAUAGAAAUGGGAACUAGUAACUAUGGAUUUUGUUAGAGGUUUGCCUUUGACACCUACUAAGAAACAUUCGAUUUGGUUAUUGUAGACCAGUGAACUAAGUCUGCUUACUUCAUUCCGGUUGGAUCGACUACUCUUUGUAGAAGUUGGCGAAGCUUUAUGUCUCUAAGAUUGCUAGACUUCAUGGGGUUCCAAUAUCUAUUAUUUUAGACUAAGAUCCUCAUUUUUCUUCUUGUUUUUGGUAGAAGUUACAUGAGACUUUAGGUAUUCAACUAGAUUUUAGUACGACAUUUCAUCCUCAAAUUGAUGGUCUGUUUGAUAGGGUAAUUCAGAUUUUGGAGGAUAUGCUUCGAAGCUGUGUGAUUGAUUUUCAAGGUACCUGGGAGAAGUUUCUACCGCUGGCUAAAUUUUCUUAUGAUAAUAGCUUUCAGUCUACAUUCAGAUGGCGCCUUAUGAGGCUUUAUAUGGCAGGAAAUGUCACACUCUACUUUGUUAGACUGACUUGGUAGAGAGGAAAGUUUUGGGUCCUAAGUUAGUGGCUAAGAUUGAAGAUAAAGUUCAUUUGAUCCAAGAUAAACUUAAGGCCACUUCUGAUAAAUAGAAGUCUUACACGGACCUUAAGAAAUGAGAUAUUGAGUAUGAGGUCAGGGAUCAUGUUUUCCUUAAGGUGUCUCCUUGGAAGAAAGCCCUCAAGUUUGGUCAUAAGGGCAAGUUGACCCCUAUAUUCAUUGAGCCGUAUCGGGUUUUGACAUGAGUUCGGUUAGUUGCUUAUAAGCUUGAGUUACAUAUGGAAUUGGACCGCAUCCAUGACAUCUUUCACGUGUCUAUGUUGAGACAUUAUCGAUCUGAUCCUUCACAUGUGGUUCUAGUGGAGGAGAUUGAAUUAAGACCAGACUUAUCUUUUAAAAUGGAAUUGGUAUAGAUUCUAGAUUGUGAAGUUAAGGUCUUGAAGAGGAAGACCAUCCCUUUGGUUAAGGUGCUGUGGCAGAAUCAUGUUUCUAAUAAGGCCACUUGGGAGCCUGAGGACUUGAUGCGUCAAUAAUAUCCUUAUCUUUUUUAUUCAAGUAAAUUUCUAAGCUGAAAUUUCUUUAAGAAUGAGAGAAUUGUAACGCCCCAAUUUUUUUAUGUUUAAAUUGUUAAAGUCUUAUCAAGUGAUUUGGUUUGGUUUGGAGGUUGGGCACUUUGUAUAUCUGUUUAAGGUUCUAUGUUAAAGUCCCUAUAUGCUUAAUGGAAAUAUUUCUUUUGUUAUUUUAUUUGUUGUAUCACCCAUGGUAGUAGUUUGUUGGUGGGAUUCAAACUCUAAUGGCUGGAUAAGGAUAGGGUAUUAAAAUUGGUGGGAUUUUAGUUAGUUAAAAUAAUAACCUUUUCCUCUCUUUUUUUUUCUUUUCUUUUAUUUUAAAUACUUUCUCUCCUAAAACCACCCCCCCACUAUCAUCCAUUAUUCUAUUUGUGUUAUUAUUUUUAUUCCCUUUUGCUUCAACACACGUUUCUUUCUCUUCUGUUACCUUUUUCCCUUUGUUCUUUUUGUUUGUUUCUUUCUCCUUUCUUUUGCUUUUCAAUUUCAUCUGUCGUUAUCUUUAGUUUUGUUGCGUUAUUUCUUUUGUUGCUACAAUGACGUGUUUCAGAGGUUUGUGUUGUCGACUCAGUUUAGGUGAGUAGGUGUGUUUUCUGAUAAUAAGUUUAAUAGAUUUUAUGUUAUGAACAUGUUGGAAGAUUUUGGGUAUUUUUUAUUUUUUCAAUGUUAAUUGUACGCGUUUUGGUUAGGUGAAGGAUGUGAGGUUUAUGACAUUCUUCCAGCAAACUAGGUGUUGUAGGAUUGUUGUUUUUCGUGGUACAUACUUGAAUGCCGGUUGUUUUAGGAACAAUUUUAAGUGAAAGCUUCAAAACUUAUGCUUCGGAUUUGUAGUUGGUAUUAAUUUAAUCUUAAUUGUGUAUGAUGUGUUCAAGAUUUUUCCUUGUUGCAUUGGUGUCUUUGUUCCGGUAGUAUUAGGUGUAUGAAACUAACCCAAUUUAUCACUCGAAACUCGAGAAAAAUACAAAACAGGGGUUGUUUUCAAAACUGUCUAACGCCACAUGGCCGUAUGUGUUUUUGCAGGUCGUUUGGGGUGUAACACCCCAAACCCGGCCCAGACGUUAUGGCCAGAUCCGGCAUGCCACAUCGAAGCGUUUAAAACAUUUCAUAUUGUUGAUCAAAAAAGCUUACUUAGUGUUUUAAAAGAUAAUUUCAUUGUAGGUUAAAGUGAAUGCAAGCUGUGCACCAGGUAGGAAACCGGGAAAGAGGAGGUGAGUCCAUCGGACUGCUUAAGUACCAAGCUCCCUUUGGAUCCAAACCUAGACAUGCACACCGCCAUUGCCACACCUUAACAUCAUGUAUAUUUUCAGGAAACCAAUUUGAUUAAGUCCUUUUUAGGAAGAGUGAUUAAUUUUGGAAAAUAUUUUCAUUGCGGAAGCUUUGCUUGUUGUCGUAUUAUUUUGAAAUCAAUUACUAUUUUUGAAAAUGCACCCUAAAGCUAUCCAAUUUCAACAGUUAAAUAUAAGUAAUACCUAUCUUAAUAAAACAAAUUAAACCCAUCAAAAAAAUAAUUAAGCGGCCUUAUUACAUAAAAAAACCCAAAACCUUAAACUUAAAUAAAAGGAUGUCCAGUUCACCAGAAGAAAAUCAAACUUGCAGAACGUGUGGCCACUCCAAAUCCCUCACAGCUCCAAGCCCACUAUGGUUGGG
rnacentral:lncRNA from 1 species